UCCCACUAAUUUAAUGUUAAUUUCAGAAAAUAUUUGUGACCGCGCGCAAUGCGGUUAAUAGAAUCAGUGUUUGCUUCGUCAUAGUAUUUUUAAUAUUUUUUAGAGCACAAUAGCUCUGAUUAAAUUUAAUUAGAAUAAUCAAACGCGAAGAUAGAAUCAGUGUUUGUUCGCCGAUUAUAUUAUAAUUUAUACGGACGCGUUAUUAGUUUCUUAUUUUUAUUUUUUUCUUUUUAUAAAUAUUCGUUUUCGGUACAGAGUAGAGUCAGUGCUUCUCUCAAGAGAAUACGGCGAUCAUCCACCACGCGAAGAGAUGCUGAUGAAAGUUUUUCUUGGACUUUAGUCUUAAAAAAUAUUUGUGACCACGCGCAAUGUGGUUAAGUAGAAUCAGUGUUGCUUCGUCAUAGUAUUUUUAAUAUUUUUUAGAGCACAAUAGCUCUGAUUAAAUUUAAUUAGAAUAAUCAAACGCGAAGAUAGAAUCAGUGUUUGUUCGCCGAUUAUAUUAUAAUUUAUACGGACGCGUUAUUAGUUUCUUAUUUUUAUUUUUUCUUUUUAUAAAUAUUCGUUUUCGGUACAGGGUAGAAUCAGUGCUUCUCUGAAGAGAAUAAGGCGAUCAUCCAUCACGCGAAGAGAUUUCUUCCAUCCUCCUACCUGAUGACAGGCUUCUUCUCGAUGACUUCUGGGGCUACAACACAGUGAAGGUGUUCGUCGCAUCAUAUGGUGAGUCGCAUGCUUUUUGGUUCCUCCGGUCAUUCAAUCAUGUCGUAGGAUGAAAGAUCCGUAUCGACACGGAUGACUGGUUGUAUACGUAGAAUUUUGCACGAGCACAAUGACCACGGAUAUUUGUUUAUAAUAUCCGUGAGUAGUAACAUUUCUUUUGUGUUUUAUUUAUUAGUUCAGGCUAGGAUCUUCUUGCGUUUCGCGUUUUUGAUUAAUAUAAAAUGUUUAAUAAUUUUCUAAUGUCAAAGCAUAUAAUAAUUAUUGUAUUAAUAUAAUACAAUAAGUAAUUUGAAUUUUUAUAAUUCAAAAUUCUUCAGAAUAACAUUAUAAGUUAUUUGACCAAAUAUAAUUUGAUUAUUGUGAUAUAAUAUCAAUUUCAUAUAAUAAUAACUUUAAUAUGACUUAGAACAUUUAGAACAUUUAGAGAGUAAAGUUCAAUUUUCUUUGUUUUCUUGUAAAUCACAAAUAUGAAUUGAAUUUUGUGCAAGAAGAUAUUUCGCGACAGGUAGAUUUUAGAAUCAGAGCAAUAAGUUUUGAAUAUUAUUUUUAUGGCUUUGAAAAUAUGCUCUGAUGAAGGAAUCGCCUGAGGAUAUUUCUAUUAAUAUUUAUGUUAAUUACAAUGAAUAAUUCUAAUUCUUUCUUUAAAUUCAAUAUUAAGAAUUAAAAUUUCAAUAACUUGUUCAAUUAAUGAAAUAAAAUAUAAAGUAGAGUCAUACAAAUAUAAUAAUUUGAAAUAUAAUAAGAAUAUAAUGCAAAGUCAAAGAAUAUUAGCCCGUUAGAUACAAAAUGGAUAUACUAAUAUUUCUUUUUAGCUCAGGAUUUUCAGAUUUAACCCUUUCCAUGUUCACUGCCAGGAACUCACUCACGUGCCCAGGUGUUACUUGAGUGAGGGAGAGGCAAUGAGUAUGAUGACCUUAGUUCAUAAGUUAAUACA